ACCCUUAGGAAGGGUACUAGACUGGAAACCUGAGUCUCAACAUCGCCUUGGCCAAACAAAGGAAAAUGCCAGCAUUCCCCACCAACUCGACGCUCAUUUCUUCUUAUUUGGUUUAGAAGAGCAAUUGAACAACAAGCACCAGUGGUCUAGUGGUAGAAUAGUACCCUGCCACGGUACAGACCCGGGUUCGAUUCCCGGCUGGUGCAUUUGUUUUUCCCAACCUUUUUUUUUUCCCACCUUUUUUUUAUUCCCGACAUUGUGACCGAAACCUGAAACAGCAGAGGUUUCUUUGUUUUGUUCCAUUUUGCAUAGAAACCAUAACCAAACACGGGAUCCUUCUUUCCCGACAUUUCUGCAUUGAAGAAAUGGGUUUUUCCUUUUUGGUGAGCUCAGAGGUAAGAUUCCAAACCAAAACUGUGUUCCAUGGUACAAAUCUUUUGAAUUAGACAACAGUCUGAAUCUGGAACUUAUGCGGGUCAUCAUGGUUUAUCUGUCAAUAUGCUGAUCGCAUGUAGCAGUUCAAUGAUUUCUGUGAAACUGCUUUCAUUGGUUGGCAAAACGGUUGAUGGCUGCUGCAAAUGCUGGCUCAUUUGGAACUUGGGUUUUACAAGUACAGCAGAAGGGCAUGGAAUUUUCUGUUCUUCUAUAUAAGAAAUAGGACUUUUACCUUGGAAUGUAUGGUACUUUUAAGUCUUUGUGGUAAAUAUAUUUCAUCGGUGAAAGAUAGAGCGAACGGGGUUUAUUAAUUGCAUUUAAGAAAUCCAAGGCAUAAAUUAAAAAAACUGUACGUCGAAACUUGAUUGUGGGCUCAUGCUACUGGCUGGACAUGAAUGGAUGGUGGAUUGGAUCUUAUUUUGUACUUUCACAACCAUCCAAUCAUGGUGCGCAACUAACAUCUUAGAACAACUGCAAAUGGUGCAGAACCUUUCCAUAGCUCAUUGGCAAGUAACCAAAUUGUAUUUUAAUUGUUGCUGCUUCCUUCAUCAUUUCAUGACUGUAAUUAAGUAUUACUUUUCAGCCUUCUAGGGAUUUUUUAGAGGUUUCUUAAAAAUAAAAAAUAAAAAUCUGAAAAGAACGGUUUAUCAUUAUUUGAUUAACUUAUAUAUUUUUUUUUUUACAAAUAGUUACAAGUAGAACAUGAUUAGUCUGUCAUCAUCAACUCAUAAACACUCCCAUCAUCUUGUAAAUUUUGUGUUGUCUUCACAAUCACAGUCAGUUUCUCAAUGGAUACCUUCAUUCUAUCCUAACUCUUCCUUUUGAAGAUAAGUAUUUCCAAUCCAUUGAAUUAUUUAUCUUUUCAUGCGUAACAUUGUUUAUUGAUGAUGCAUGCUGUCCUUGGUUUCAGUCUCCUUGCUAAGUUCUCAUAAACAGAUUAUCAGCGCAAGAUACUUUUGCAUUUAUUGUUGGGAUGCUAGUUAUUGGCAUUGUGUGACAAAAAAACUGUCGAAAACUGAAUGAUGACAACAAGGGAAUCACUCUUCAACUAAUAUUGUCAAUGUCUUUCGAAAAUAAGCAUGUCAUCUUCAAAAACACUGCUAAAACAUCGGAGGGACAGAGACGCAGGCUUCCAUGGACUAUAUACAGCUGUGUCUUUUCUGGUAUCUUGAUUCGAAAUUCAGCAUUCGGGAUCAACUCGCCGGUAACAUGAUCAGUUCGCGUCCUCUACCGACUGGCAUGGAUAAUCCACUACCAUGGUUUGCAUACUUAUGCACCCAAAAACCUUCUGUUAGAAAGACAUUAAAGGUUUUUUGAAUAUCAAACCAGGGUAAAUAAAGAGUUAAAAGUAUAUAUAUUUAGGGAGAAGAAUAGUAAAAGCAUGAUCUUUAUAGUUCAUGUCUAUCCUCAACUGAUGCUCAGAGUUUGUGGAUCUUAUGAUAUGGCCAGUAAAACAAAUCUUUAAAUCUAUCUAAUUUAAGGUUUUCCUUUUUUGGGAUUUUCUCUGCUAUAUAUUAUUUCUUGAGCAAAUCCGGUGCUGUAUUUGUGGUGUGAGUGUUAAGAAUAUCUUAUUUUAUUUCAUCUA